rnacentral:rRNA from 1 species
CCUACGGGAGGCAGCAGUGGGGGAUAUUGCACAAUGGGGGGAACCCUGAUGCAGCGACGCCGCGUGGGUGAAGAAGCGCCUCGGCGCGUAAAGCCCUGUCAGCAGGGAAGAAAAUGACGGUACCUGAAGAAGAAGCCCCGGCUAACUACGUGCACGCAGCCGCGGGAAUACGUAGGGGGCAAGCGUUAUCCGGGUGUACUGGGGGUAAAGGGGGCGCCUCGGGCGAUGCAAGCCAGGAGGGAAAGCCCGGGGCCCAACCCCGGGGCUGCUCUUGGAACUGCGUGGCUGGAGUGCAGGAGGGGCAGGCGGAAUUCCUGGUGUAGCGGUGAAAUGCGUAGAUAUCAGGAGGAACACCGGUGGCGAAGGCGGCCUGCUGGACUGCAACUGACGUUGAGGCCCGAAAGCGUGGGGAGCAAACAGGAUUAGAUACCCGUGUAGUC